CCUACGGGUGGCAGCAGUGGGGAAUAUUGGGCAAUGGGCGCAAGCCUGACCCAGCAACGCCGCGUGAAGGAAGAAGGCUUUCGGGUUGUAAACUUCUUUUAUCAGGGACGAAGCAAGUGACGGUAACUGAUGACUAAGCCACGGCUAACUGCGUGCCAGCAGCCGCGGUAAUACGUAGGUGGCAAGCGUUAUACAGCUUUACUGGGUGUAAAGGGCGGGUAGGCGGGAGUUCAAGUCAGAUGGGAAAACUGAGGGCUCAACCCAUAGCCUGCAUGUGAAACUGUACUUCUUGAGUGCUGGAGAGGGAAUCGGAAUUCCGGGUGUAGCGGUGAAAUGCGUAGAUAUACGGAGGAACACCAGUGGCGAAGGCGGCCUACUGGACUGUAACUGACGUUGAGGCGCGAAAGCGUGGGGAGCAAACAGGAUUAGAUACCCUUGUAGUC
rnacentral:rRNA from 1 species